AUUGAACGCUGGCGGCAGGCCUAACACAUGCAAGUCGAGCGAGCGGCGGACGGGUGAGUAAUGUCUGGGAAACUGCCUGAUGGAGGGGGAUAACUACUGGAAACGGUAGCUAAUACCGCAUACCAUCAGAUGUGCCCAGAUGGGAUUAGCUAGUAGGUGGGGUAACGGCGCACCUAGGCGACGAUCCCUAGCUGGUCUGCGAGGAUGACCAGCAACACUGGAACGGAGACACGGGCCAGACUCCAACGGUAGGCAGCAGUGGGGAAUAUGGCACAAUGGGCGCAAGCCUGAUAGAGCCAUGCCGCGUGUGUGAAGAAGGCCUUCGGGUUGUAAAGCACUUUCAGCGGGGAGGCGUUACCCGCAGAAGAAGCAACGGCUAACUCCGUGCCAGCCGCCGCGGUAAUAC
rnacentral:rRNA from 1 species